rnacentral:lncRNA from 1 species
CUCAGUAUCCUUUAUUGGCAGUGGAAAACGCCUCAGUACUUUAUUGAAAGAAAGCAAUAAAUAAUACUGUGAUAAAAAUAGUUCAAAAGGAGACUGUACAUACUUUGUUACAUAAUCAGGAAGUUCACAAAAGAUUAACAGAAAACAGAAUGUAACAACAAAUCGUACAAGGAAGUUAAAAGCAGAAACCGAAUGUAAAGAGACACGCCGUCCACCGACAAAAUGAGCUGUAUAAUAAAUAACGCACCGUGGUCGGAACGCAUUUCCUGCUGGCUCUUUAAUGUGCCAUUUAAAAAGGAAAAGUUACAUCUGCUACUUAGACAGUCCAAAACGGCUAUAUCGUCAAAAGCUAAAAAUGUACCACUAGGUCCCUCCUUUCAACAUGUUUACAAACAAAUGUAAAAGGAUGAUUUACAUAAGAAAAAAUAAGGCCUUUAGUAGAGUCGCACUGCGUGGUUUCCUGGUUUCCGGGAGCCCCCGCCUUCCUCUUCCCGCCCGGCGUCCCUGCAGAUCGCGGUGCUUCCUGCUUGGUCCUCAAAGAGCAGCGGGGCGGGGGCCCGCGUCCACCCGUAGGGGCAGAGCCCAGAGAGCCCCCCAGCCCUUCCUGCCGCCGAGAGAAGUGCUCCCGGCUGGGGCUCGUGCCGGGCGCUGAGGACAAGCCGUGCGGGUCCCCAGGGACGACGAGCUCUGCAAGCUACUGAGAGCCACCAGAGAUGCUCACAGUUCUGACGGCCCCUUCAGCCCAAAUUUUAUCAGAAGCUCAUAUUUAACGCCAGGUACUUUCAGUCUGUUCACGCUGCAGAAUAAAGCAUUUCUUGCUAGAAAAAGUAGAGUAAGGUCAGUCAUUAAAACACAAUUGCUUGAAAUUAAGUCUGCUUGUUUCAAAAUGAUUGUUGUAGAGCUGGUUACAUUUGUCAGGAUAACGCGCACCAUGUCAUGAUGAUCUUACAAAUGCAAAUGCAGUAAAAUCCUCUUCUCUCUCGCCGAUUAUUAUUAAAAAAUUAAUGAUAAUUACAAUAAAUGCAUAAUUUACAAAAGCCCUAUAUCUUUUCAUAGGAUUUAUACAUACAAGCAUUACAGUACAUUUGUUUGAAAGACUAAAAUUAGAUAUAAGAACAGAAUCGAUUUGAAAGGAUAUUUAUAGCCUGGAUAUGAAAAAGUAAGUAACUAUAUAAAUGAAGUCAUAUGUUUACAUAAAUAUAAGAAACAUUAAAUUCUAAAAUAUUUUCUCUAUGGUAUUCGUGAAUUUUUCACUAAUUAAAAACUCUGUAAUAAAAUAUCUUAGGGUCCAUAUAACAAGUAUCAACAGAUUGCAGAUCCACUGAAUUCUGAAAGGCCGUCUUCGCCGGGUCCCGAGCGCUGCGCGGUCAUCUGUAGAAGUAGUGUGGGUAAACUGGAAAGGAA